AUUGAACGCUGGCGGCAUGCCCAACACAUGCAAGUCGAACGGCAGCACGGUCUAGUUUACUAGAUGGGUGGCGAGUGGCGGACGGGUGAGUAAUGCGCAGGAAUAUGCCUUAAAGUGGGGGACAACUUGGGGAAACUCAAGCUAAUACCGCGUAAUCUCUGAGGAGAAAAGCUGGGGACCUUCGGGCCUGGCGCUUUAAGAUUAGCCUGCGUCCGAUUAGCUAGUUGGUAGGGUAAAGGCCUACCAAGGCGACGAUCGGUAGCUGGUCUGAGAGGAUGACCAGCCACACUGGAACUGAGACACGGUCCAGACUCCUACGGGAGGCAGCAGUGGGGAAUGUUGGACAAUGGGGGCAACCCUGAUCCAGCAAUGCCGCGUGUGUGAAGAAGGCCUGAGGGUUGUAAAGCACUUUCAGUGGGGAGGAGGAUUGAUAGGUUAAGAGCUAAUUAAUUGGACGUUACCCACAGAAGAAGCACCGGCUAACUCCGUGCCAGCCGCCGCAGUAA
rnacentral:rRNA from 1 species